CGCGGCCUAUCAGCUUGUUGGUGGGGUGAUGGCCUACCAAGGCUUUGACGGGUAGCCGGCCUGAGAGGGCGACCGGCCACACUGGGACUGAGACACGGCCCAGACUCCUACGGGAGGCAGCAGUGGGGAAUAUUGCACAAUGGGGGAAACCCUGAUGCAGCGACGCCGCGUGGGGGAUGAAGGCCUUCGGGUUGUAAACCCCUUUCAGUAGGGAACAAGGCCAUGAUUAUUGUUGUGGUUGAGGGUACUUGCAGAAGAAGCGCCGGCUAACUACGUGCCAGCAGCCGCGGUAAUACGUAGGGCGCAAGCGUUGUCCGGAAUUAUUGGGCGUAAAGAGCUCGUAGGCGGUUUGUCGCGUCUGCCGUGAAAACCCGAUGCUUAACAUCGGGCUUGCGGUGGGUACGGGCAGGCUAGAGUGCGGUAGGGGUGACUGGAAUUCCUGGUGUAGCGGUGGAAUGCGCAGAUAUCAGGAGGAACACCGAUGGCGAAGGCAGGUCACUGGGCCGUUACUGACGCUGAGGAGCGAAAGCAUGGGGAGCGAACAGGAUUAGAUACCCUGGUAGUCCAUGCCGUAAACGUUGGGCACUAGGUGUGGGGAUUGUUCCACGAUUCCUGUACCGUAGCUAACGCAUUAAGUGCCCCGCCUGGGGAGUACGG
rnacentral:rRNA from 1 species